rnacentral:lncRNA from 1 species
AUCUGGGGGUCGAUGGCACCGAUGCGCACAGCUGGAGCCUGGGGGGCUGGGGUCGCAUCUGGACACGGCCGGGUCCCCAAAAUCACCGCCACGGUUGGAUCCCGGGGACUGACACCACAUCUGGGCACAGCUGGAUCCCAAAAAUCGGUGCCACAUCCAGGCACAGCUGGAUUUGGGGACCGAUGUCACAUCUGGGCACAGCUGGAUCCCAGGGAUCGAUGGCACCGUUGUGCACAGCUGGAUCCCGGGGGUUUGUGCCCCCCCCCCUCUGUGCACAGCUGGAUUUGGGGAUCGCUGCCACAUCUGGGCACAGCUGGAUCCCGGUGCCGGGGUGCUUGGGGGGGGGUCCCCGGGGUCGGCUGUGGUUUUGGCACGGGAGGGUAGAGGGCAGUGGAGGUCCAGCGAUGCCGACACCGGACCCAAUUUUGGACAGGGGGUGACAUUUGGACAGGGGGUGACACCAGGCUGGGGGUGUCACCGGGCAGGGGGUGACACCAGGCAGCAGGUGACCCCCCCAGGACCCCCCAUCUCCAAGCACAGCAGCACCUUUGGGUGCUCCCCACUCCCUCUCCCCCCCAUUCCCCUUCCCACCUUCAAACCACCCAAAUCUGCCCCCCUCCAACCCCACCCAAGGGUGGCACCGAGCCCCCCAGGGGGGGACACACACACACUCACAGCCACCCGGUGCCACCGCGUUCCCCCCCCCCCCCGGGGCCUGAAAUACGGCCCCAUAAAUCCGUGCCCCGCGGCGGCUCCGUGCUUAAUUAGUCCCUGGAAGGACGUGAUUCAGGAGAGCCCAAAUGGGAUGGCGUCAUGCGAGGCAUUAAAACGGACGGGGAUCGGUGGCUGGCGAGCCAGGAGGAAAAAAAAAAUUAAAAUAAAACACAAAGUGGGGGGGUCUCAGGAGGGGGAUUUGGGUUUUUUUUCCUGCCCCCCAGUGAUGCGGGCGAAAGGAUGGGGGCGAAUCCCGAAGCACCCCCAAGGAUUUGGGGUGCCUGGUGUAAAAUCCUGCCCUGCCACCUGCCCUGUCCCCAAAUUUGGGUGUGGGCUUAUGGAGGGGGGGGGGUUUUGGGGUGCGAUAGGGACCCAAUGGGACCCCCAAAACCUUCCCGGCACCUCCCCGAGCUGCUCCGGCUCCCGGCCAGCCACAGCGGGUUUCUUUUAUUUUUUUAUUUAUUUUUUUUUUACGGGCUUUUUUUUUAUGACAAACUUUACUUUACGUUUGACAUUUAAAAGCUGAUCGGAUCUUCCCUCCAGGACAGCAGGAAAUGGAGAUAUUUAUUGGGGUCUCGGCGACGCCGGGAGAGCCGCGAGAUUUACUCCGACAGCGCGGCCGGAUCACGGAUCUCGGCUG